AGGAUCAUUAUUGAAAUACUUUGGUAAAUCAUAUUAUGAUUAAUAUAUCGUCCAGCUGUUGACCUUUACCUGCGUUGCUUNNNNNNGCUGAUGGAGGGUGUUUGAGUGUUGAUGUGUAUGUGUCCAUUUGGUUUAGGGAAGGACAAUUUGCUUUGCUUUGCUUUGCUGGUACAUUCUCCUGCUCCGAAGCAGUUCAGCAAAGGACCAUUCACCUUGCUUUGCUUUGCUUAAGUGUUCUGCUGCUGCCUGUGGCUCAAGGAAGGACAAUUCAUUUGAAAUGUUCUUCUGCCACCAGCAGUUGAGGGAAGGACAAUUUGCUGUGCUUUGCUUUGGUUGAAUGAAGGUUCUGCUGCUGCUGGUGGUUCAGGGAAGGGCCCAAUUUGCAGUGCCCAGCUUUGCUUAAAUGUUCUUCUCCUACUAUUCAUUGGACAUGACCAUCUUCACUGCUCCCUCCUCCUGGUGAAUGGACUCUUUUAUCUUGUUAUUGUAUAUAUUUGUCUGAAAUUAUAUGAGAAAUUAAAACUUUCAACAACGGAUCUCUUGGCUCCUGCAUCGAUGAAGAACGCAGCGAAAUGCGAUAAUUAAUGUGAAUUGCAGAAUUCAGUGAAUCAUCGAGUCUUUGAACGCACAUUGCGCCUCUGGGGUCUACCUAGAGGCAUGCCUGUCUGAGCGCUGGAUAGCAGCCUCUCAACAAUGUCUUUAUUAUAAAGGUAUUUGUUGGAUAGUAUCAAAGAAGUAUUUUUUCUUUACUGUUCUUUUUCUUCUCUGGGAGAAAAGAAUGGCAAAAAAAACUCUUUGUAAAUAUAUGAUUAGGGUAGUUCUGUAGAUACCGAAUUAUGGGAGACUUGUAAUUGUCAAAUUUGUUUGGUUUUAUAUAUCUAUAAGAAUCCUUAAUCUUUGAACCCAUUUUCACUUUGCCCCCUUUGAACUUUCUUUUAAAUUAAAGGAAACUAGANGCAGGAGCAAAAAUGAUGAACUAGGC
rnacentral:rRNA from 1 species